rnacentral:tRNA from 4 species
GGGGCGGUGGCGGAAUAGGCAGACGCAGUGGACUUAAAAUCCACCGGCCGCAAGGCUGUGAGGGUUCGACCCCCUCUCGCCCCA